rnacentral:rRNA from 1 species
GACGAACGCUGGCGGCGUGCUUAACACAUGCAAGUCGAACGGAAAGGCCCUGCUUUUGUGGGGUGCUCGAGUGGCGAACGGGUGAGUAACACGUGAGUAACCUGCCCUUGACUUUGGGAUAACUUCAGGAAACUGGGGCUAAUACCGGAUAGGAGCUCCUGCUGCAUGGUGGGGGUUGGAAAGUUUCGGCGGUUGGGGAUGGACUCGCGGCUUAUCAGCUUGUUGGUGGGGUAGUGGCUUACCAAGGCUUUGACGGGUAGCCGGCCUGAGAGGGUGACCGGCCACAUUGGGACUGAGAUACGGCCCAGACUCCUACGGGAGGCAGCAGUGGGGAAUAUUGCACAAUGGGCGGAAGCCUGAUGCAGCAACGCCGCGUGCGGGAUGACGGCCUUCGGGUUGUAAACCGCUUUCGCCUGUGACGAAGCGUGAGUGACGGUAAUGGGUAAAGAAGCACCGGCUAACUACGUGCCAGCAGCCGCGGUGAUACGUAGGGUGCGAGCGUUGUCCGGAUUUAUUGGGCGUAAAGGGCUCGUAGGUGGUUGAUCGCGUCGGAAGUGUAAUCUUGGGGCUUAACCCUGAGCGUGCUUUCGAUACGGGUUGACUUGAGGAAGGUAGGGGAGAAUGGAAUUCCUGGUGGAGCGGUGGAAUGCGCAGAUAUCAGGAGGAACACCAGUGGCGAAGGCGGUUCUCUGGGCCUUUCCUGACGCUGAGGAGCGAAAGCGUGGGGAGCGAACAGGCUUAGAUACCCUGGUAGUCCACGCUGUAAACGGUGGGUACUAGGUGUGGGGUCCAUUCCACGGGUUCCGUGCCGUAGCUAACGCUUUAAGUACCCCGCCUGGAGAGUACGGCCGCAAGGCUAAAACUCAAAGGAAUUGACGGGGCCCCGCACAAGCGGCGGAGCAUGCGGAUUAAUUCGAUGCAACGCGUAGAACCUUACCUGGGUUUGACAUGGAUCGGGAGUGCUCAGAGAUGGGUGUGCCUCUUUUGGGGUCGGUUCACAGGUGGUGCAUGGCUGUCGUCAGCUCGUGUCGUGAGAUGUUGGGUUAAGUCCCGCAACGAGCGCAACCCUUGUUCACUGUUGCCAGCACGUUAUGGUGGGGACUCAGUGGAGACCGCCGGGGUCAACUCGGAGGAAGGUGGGGAUGACGUCAAGUCAUCAUGCCCCUUAUGUCCAGGGCUUCACGCAUGCUACAAUGGCUGGUACAGAGAGUGGCGAGCCUGUGAGGGUGAGCGAAUCUCGGAAAGCCGGUCUCAGUUCGGAUUGGGGUCUGCAACACGACCUCAUGAAGUCGGAGUCGCUAGUAAUCGCAGAUCAGCAACGCUGCGGUGAAUACGUUCCCGGG